GACGAACGCUGGCGGCGUGCCUAAUACAUGCAAGUAGAACGAGUUGCGAACGGGUGAGUAACGCGUAGGAACCUGCCUCAUAGCGGGGAAUAACUAUUGAAAACGAUAGCUAAUACCGAAUACUGUGAGAUGGACCUUCGUUUUAUGAGCUAGUUGGGGAGGUAAAGGCUCACAAAGGCGACGAUACCUAGCCGACCGGAGAGGGUGAUCGGCCACACUGGAACUGAGACACGGUCCAGACUCCUACGGGAGGCAGCAGUGGGGAAUAUUGGACAAUGGGGGAAACCCUGAUGCAGCCAUGCCGCGUGUGUGAAGAAGGCUUUCGGGUUGUAAAGCACUUUCAGCGAGGAGGCGUUACUCGCAGAAGAAGCACCGGCUAACUCCGUGCCAGCAGCCGCGGUAAUAC
rnacentral:rRNA from 1 species